ensembl:lncRNA
GCCAUAUUUCCCUGUUAGUCUCUCCAGGCUACAAGCUUAUUGGUUGAGUCACCCACCUCGGGGGCGGGACUUCCCUCCUCAGUCUGGGGCCUACCUGUCAAUCAUCCAGACACACCCAGAGCUUUACUAACCUGCUAGGCGCUUCCCAUUCAAAUCAAGUUGACAGAUGGUGAUGAAGGAUUACACUCGGAGAUUCCUUUCAGUGUCUCCCUCUGAAAUAGAGAGGAGUUUACCGUAUUUCAUGUUAAAAAGCCCGUUUCUUCUCCUUUGGUCUCAUGCCAGGAGAUUGGGCAAGACUUCGGGCAGCCUGAAGAGUUUUGCAGCGUCCCCCUGUGCCGGGCCCGGCUGUAUUGUGGGCAGGAACAGUGCCUGAGGCAGAGGCCCGUCAGCAAAUUGUGGACAACGUGGACUUAAUGCCAACAGUGAAAUCAUCCAACCCAGUGAGUCACAAGCACCCUCCAGGAGGCCACAGUCAUAACAUUAAGAUGGUGAAGAGGAAGAUAAACCAGAGAUGUCUGGAUUCCCUUCAGAAAGAAGCUGAAGGAGCAACCACCCUCUAAGCGCCAGGCACUGUCCGGGAUGCAAGAAGUGACUCUGGUGACGGAGACCCUGGAGAGGGAUCAGCGGGAAACCCUGAAGGAAGGCCGCGGUCUGACAUCCGGAGCCGGUUCUUUGGAUGCCUUUUCAGCUGCAAACGGAAGGAAGGUCCUCGAGUUUGGAGGUUUCCAGAAGCGUGAAGGAGAAGGUGCAGGACACGGUGAGAAGCCUCCGGGGCCUGAAUAAGCAGAGAAAAGGUGCUCUGAGCUUCCUCAUCCAGUGACUUCACAGGGAGCAGGACCUGCAAGACCUACAGCGGUGUUUGACGUCCUGAUCUUUGGAGAGCUGCGGCAGGAGGAUCUGGCUCUCCAAAGCUGGGAGCCUGGUAGAAGCGCUUGCCAACACCAUUGUGGAGUUCGUGGACCCCUUGAUAGGUGAGGGAGGAUCCGGCUGGAUUCGGAGGUGGAGGAACUGCUGCUCAGGGAGGCCUGGGGAUCACAUCUUGGGGUGAGUGCCAACGGCCCUUUACGCUUUGCUUCAUGGGGGUGGCUCCUCACUUGGUAGAGACCAGCGGCUCCCCUUCCCCGUGGUCCAGUCUGUGGUCCCCAACUGGGUAGGGGGAGGAGGCACCUGGACUCCGUGACGUGAGCCUGAGCAGUUGUGGAGGCCCUGGUCCGCUUCAUACUCUCCUUCCCAAUGGACCUCUCAGAGGAGCAGCAGUUUUGGGGGGAGGCACUGGAGAAGGAGACCUUGCCCAUGCUGAAGGACAAGGUGAGAGGGCCUGGGUGGAGGGCCGGGUCACAGUGGGAGAGAAAAUGAUGUUCUCAAGGGACCCAGAAAUUCCAGGGCAAGUUCCAGCCCUUUGUUACUCCAUGGUUCCCCGCCAGCGCACGUCCAUGUGGCUGGCUGGUUAGUGACAAUUCCCUGGACAUAGGUCGCCAGGAUGAUUGGACAUGGGUUCUUUAGGCUCUGUUGCUUGCCUGGAGGAACGAGGGGCGGACGUGUGACUGCCAGGGCGGCAGCUGGCAUGGGCUGAUCAGGGUCACCUGCGUGGGCUCCACCGGAAGGAGCGCCAUGACGGUGACUAUGUCUGCGCAUGCGCUCGCUACUGCGCGCACUGGCCAAGCGCUUGCCAUUUCCGGUUUGUGUCGUUGUUCCUAGCUUUUAGGCUGGUUGGUUUCCUUCCAGGUGGAGACCAUCCUGGAGGAGAAGUGGGGUGUCCAGGCCAGCAAUCCCCAGGACCCAGACUGUGACCCCGAGGCGCAGGCCAUCUUUAUCCUCUAUCUUGCUGUCUCCAUACUGCUGCAGCUGAGCGAGCAGCCCACCACUUCUUUUUUUUUUUUUUUUUUGGUACCGGGGAUCGAACGCGGGACCUUGCGCUUGCGAAGCAGGCGCCGGAACCACUGAGCUAAAUCCCCGGCCUAGCCCACCACUUCUUAAGAGCUACUUCCCCACCUCCCGAGCCCACCCUCAAGCGGCCACCACGGCCACCACCGCCAUCAUCCUGUCACCAGAGGGACCUCAUCAGAACUCGCAGAUGGCUUUCUUCCAGGCACCCCUUCCCUGCGUGUUAAUAUCCCCAACCAGCCUGGAUUGUAUGCAUGGAUUUCUGGUUAAAACUGGCAGAUUGAUUUAUUAAUUUCUCUCCCUUGAAACCUCAUUAAAUGACAGUAGAGCAAUUGGGAAGGUAUAAGCCCUCCAGGAUAAAAAGGGAGUUGAAGUCGGGGAAUUUAACACAUCUUUAGAAGCUAGAAAGCAGGGGCCUGAGGGGCGCGCGCGCGCGUGUGUGUGUAUGUAUGCUGAUUUCAUCAGAAGUCUUUAGUUCUAUUUUAUAUUCUCAAAGAAAAUGUAAUUAGAAGUUAAAGAAAUAAUGUUGGGUACACAGCAUUUCAAACAUGUCUCCAAUACUAAGUAGAAGGUGGAGCUCCUCUGCAUCUCUCUUCCUUCGGAGACCAGAGGUAGCUGACGUCUGAAGCUAAGGUGACUUGUGCCAGGUAACAGACUGCUGUUUACAGAUCCAGGCACUGGGCUGUGGUUGCCUGGCCUGUGGAACCCAAGCCCAAGGGCCUCCCCGAGUGGGUUCCACUGGAAUCUCAAGGGUGCGCCUUCGUAGUAAAGGUGACUCAGCAGUAGAUCCAUGGCUCUUACCCCACCUCGGGGGAAUGCAGCCAAGACUUUUGGGUACUGAAUGAAGAAGAGGUUAUAAAAGAAAAGGGAAAGCCAGGGAUUUAGCUCAGUGGUUCUGCCACCUGCCUCGCAAGUGCAAGGUCCCGAGUUCGAUCCCGGGUACCAAAAAAAAAAGGGAAAAAAGUAUUCUGAGAGGUUGAGAUCAGAGGCACCUUGCUAAAGAACUCAGGCUCCCUGGCAGUGGACUUGGUUGGGGAGGUCUUGGGCCGAUCACAUGCUCAGGCACCCGUCAGAAUCACACUUGACCUUCAUUCCCAUAAAUGAUCAUCUCAGGCCAAUGAGUGCUUCCCAGGAAACUACCAACAACAAAGAAUCCAAGGAAGUAAAACCAUGAGCAAGAAUGAGCAAAAAUACAGGACAGCACAGCAGAAAGGUAAGAAAACAUCAAAUAAAUAAAUAAAUAAAAUAAAAUACUGGAAUUCCUAAACAAGGUUAUGAAAACAUAAUGAUGCUUAAAUUUGAAGAUGAGUCUGAGUGUGGUGGUGCAGACCUGUAAUCCCAGGACUCAGGAGGCUGAGGGAGGAGGGUUGCCAAGAGUUUGAGGCCAGCCUGAACUGCAUAGUAGGACCCUGUCGCAAAAAACCAAAAAAGUUCAAUCAAGGUUCCAAGAGCAGAAGACAAUGAGAUUCAGGCAGAGGCAAUGCUUGAUGAGACAGUGGUUGAGAAUUUUGCCGAAUUAAAGAUAAUCAUAGUUUUAGGAAAUGCAGUGAAUCCCUAGCAAGAUUUAUAACACAUUCACAUCUAGAAGAAUCAUAGUAAAAUGGAAGAAUAGCAACAAAGACAAAAAUUUUAAAACUAGUCGGAGAAGAAGACAACUGACCUUCAAGGAAGUUACAGACUGAAAACUCAGUGAGGAGCCGUUGAUGAUGAAAUUAUACCUGUGUGUGUUGAAAGGAAAGCACUGCUGAUUAAAUUUUUAUAAUCAGCAAAACUGUCUUUAAUGUAGCGGGGGGGGAUGGGAGAAAAUAGAAUUUAUUUUAAAAAAAACUACCAAAAAAAGUUAAUAUUGCAAUAUAUCAAAAAUUAUUUGGGAAGGGGCCGGGGAUUUAGCUCAGUGGUUCUGCUGCCUCCCUCGAAAGUGCAUGGAUCUGAGUUCCAUCCCUGGUACCAAAAAAACAAACAAACAAAAUAAAGGUAAAAUUAUUUUUAGAUAAGAAUGAAGAGCCUUUUUCCCUAGUAGGUCCUUAUUAAAGAAAAGUCAGGUAAAAGGAGAGACCUCAAAUAGAUUUGAAGCUGGGUGUGGUAGUAUACUCAGGAGGCUGAAGCAGGAAGAUCCCUGCGAGUUUGAGGGUCGCCUGGGCUGCAUAGUUCAAGGCCAGCCUGACAUAUGUGGAGACCCUAACUAACCACCCCCCCAAAAAACCCCAAACCAAUAAAAGGUAAAUAAAGAGUUAAAUCUAAAUAAGCAGUAAUUGCCAGAGCCUGGUAUGGUGGUGCACACCUGUGAUCCUAGCACUGGGGAGGCUGAGUCAGGGGGAUCACAAGUUCAGGCCCAACCUGGGCCACUUAGCAACUUAGAGAGACCCCCCCCCCAAACAAAAGAGAAGCUGGGGUGUUUCUCGGAGAGAAGGCCUUGGGUGCAGUCCCCAGUAACACACACACACACACACACACACACGCACGCAUGCACGGACGGUGAUGCACGCCUGUAAUUCCAGCACUUAGGCUGAGGCGUGAGGAUAGCUAGUUCAAGUCCCACCUAUGCAGAUUAGUGAGACUCUGUCUCAUAAUAAAAACUAAAAAAGGGCUGGGGAUGUAGCUCAGUGGUAGAGCACCCUUAGAUUUAGUCCCUAUGUAAACUUAUCAAAAUGGCAUCCUAUGGGGUAAACAUAACAACUGUAACUAAUAUAAGCCGGGGACUGUGGCGUACAAUCCUGGUCCCAGCUGUUUGGCUUGAGCUCCUAUGAGAAUCUAAGACCACAGCUGACCUGACAGGAAGUGGAGCUCCAGUGGUGAUGUGCAGAUGGGGAGCUGCCUAAAAGUUUUCCUCAGUUAAAAAAAAAUAAAAUUAAAAAAAUUUUUUAAAAACAGAAAAAAGAUGAAGAAGAAGAAAAAAAGAGUUUUCCUCAGUAAGAUGUUGUAAGUCCCAAACUGGAAACAACUCAAAUAUUCACUAACAGGAUGGAUAAAUGUACUAUUGUAUGUUCAUUCAAUGGAAUAUUAUACAGCAGGGAACAGGAACAAGCUGAAGUUAUUCUUUGGGGAGAAUUACAGCACAAAAAGAUAUAUUCAAAAAGAUUCUUUCCACCUAAUGUUAAAAAAAAAAAAAGAAAGAAAACUAUUGCUUAGGAAGCCACACUUUGGUGGUAAAAUUCCAAGAAAAGUAAGGCAGUCCUUAUUAGAAAAACAUUCUCUUUGGAGGAGCAAUGGUACAAUCAGAAGAGGCCUAUCUGAAUGCAGGGUGUGAAGGACGCGAGCGAUGUUUUAUUUCUCUGGGUGGUAGGUAGUUCAAGUGAGAAUUAUUUGUUAGGCUGUAUUUUUAUGUGAAUAUACUUUUCUUCAACUAUGAUGUGGUUCACAAUAAAUUAAAUAAAAGAGAGAAUGGUGGUAUUCACUUUUUUGUUUGUUGAGACAAGGUCUCACUAUGCAGUCCAGGCUGGCCUUGAACUCACUAUUCAGCCCAAGUGGGCUCGGACUCGCAGCGAUCCUCCUGCCUCAGCCUCCAGAGUGCUGGGAUGACGGACUUCCCACGGUGCCGGCUGGCUCACUGGGACUGUGAGUCCCUGGGCUCCAUACUCCGCCUGUGCAACAUUUUCCACCCAGUGGGAGGCGUCCAAACCACCGGCCCCCUUUUGGCUUCCUGUUUCCUUAUCUUUGUUUUCCAAACACCCCUGCCACUUCUAUAUUUGCUUUUGGAUUCCGCAUGUGUUCUCGGAUCAUGCAGAAGAGCCGGUGUCGAGACGCCGGGGAGGCGCGCUUGGACCUCAGCCCUAUCCCUGCAACUCAGGUCGUUCCACCUUGGGAGCGUGUAGGUUUCGGGAGUCUUAUGACUGACAGCCACGCUUCUCCGAUUCCCUGAGAACUACACACGGUCUUUCUCUUUGGGGGGUGGGUACUGGGGAUCGAACUUGGGACCUUUCACUUGUGAGGCAGGCACUGUGCCACUGAGCUGCAUCCCUGGCCCCGCCUUUUUAUUUUUUUAAAUUACAUUUUGAGACAGGUUCUCACUAAAUUGCCCAGCUGGGCUUGGAUUUGGGAUUAUCUUGCCUCGUCCUCCUGGUGUGCACUCUCCCAUGCCUGUCCUGGGCUGAAAGUUUUUUAUUUCACUAAUUUCAGUUCUAGGCAACUGGUUCCUUGUGAAGUAUGCAGCUUGCUACAGCUGAAAAUCAUUCCCACGUUAGGCCACACGGACAUCUGUACUAACUGGAGCAACAGACAGCCCUCCUCGAGCCCUGCUCUCUGCUUGGCGGCAGAGCUCUCAGGGACCUCAGCAAGCUGCAGCCGGCCGCGGUGAGGCCUCCGCAGGCUUCUGAGAGCAGUGCUGAAGGUUAGGAGAAAACUCUAUAGUACCCCACAGAAGAGAGGGGCG